UAAAAUUUUACUUACCAGCCGAAUAACGAUCCAAGAACACAGUAGCAAUGAUUGAACGAGAAAUUUCAACAGAUAUCUGAGGAAAGCAACGAAAAUCGAAGGAGGAAGACUAAGGAGAGGAGAGGGGGGAAAAUCAGAGACGGAGAAAAAUUGAUAAGAGAAAAAUAAAAUAAAUACAAAUUAAAAAAAAUAGAUAAAACCCAACUCCCCAUUAACAACUCAAUCUCAACUACCUCAGAAUCCCAACUCCACUGAAACUCUAUCACAUAACCAAGCAAAAAUUAACACCCACGCUCGCGCAGAGGUUCAAACACUGGACAUCUAACAC
rnacentral:lncRNA from 1 species